rnacentral:rRNA from 1 species
GACGUAGGGCGCGAGCGUUGUCCGGAAUUAUUGGGCGUAAAGAGCUCGUAGGCGGUCUGUCGCGUCUGCUGUGAAAUCCCGAGGCUCAACCUCGGGCCUGCAGUGGGUACGGGCAGACUAGAGUGCGGUAGGGGAGAAUGGAACUCCUGGUGUAGCGGUGAAAUGCGCAGAUAUCAGGAGGAACACCGAUGGCGAAGGCAGGUCUCUGGGCAUUAAACUGACGCUGAGGAGCGGAAAGCAUGGGGGAGCGAACAGG